GUCUGGCUCUGUGUAUGAUGAAGGAACUGAAGCGACCGAAUGGUUCUCCGCUUACUUUGGGAAGCCAAGUCUACUAGUGCGCUUCAAAGAAGCAUCGGAAACUAGACCAACUGAUCCUGAUUAUGCCCCAAGGUUACAAGAUCAUGUUUAUAGAUUGUUUCCCGUUCCUGGUAGCCUCUCAGGGCUCACUGGAUGCACUAAAUGAGAUUCUUAAAAGAACCUGCACCAAUGAACCACUUCAUCCCUCAUCGACUCGUUUUUUUCCCAUCCCGAUAUCUCCUUUGUUUGUCUUCGUCUUGAUAUCUCCUAUGUUAAUCUUAUUUCUUGGCGAUUUGGAAAGGCAUUCAGUGGGAGCAGGUGAUGAGAACAAGACAGGGACAUCAGAACCCUCUUUUUGGGCAUGAUAGACUGAAGUCUUCAAUGGGAAUCUCUCUGAUGCUUUUGCUUUCCCAUAACCAAAUCGACAUCUCUUUGGAUCUCUUGGAUCUUUGGUUCUUGAGUGUUUGUUUGAAUCUGCUGUUCUCAGGCAAUUUUUCGACUGGCUGCCGAUGAUGCACAAAAACAUGCACGUAUUAUCGGAUUGUUUCAUGACGAUCUACA